UGUCCCGACACGGGGUGCCCGCGACCGCGAGCUGAGAUCAGACCCGUCGAACCUGCUCCAGUGCAAUGCUGGCGAAGGGAUGUCGAAAUGCGCGAUG
rnacentral:ncRNA from 2 species